AUUGAACGCUGGCGGCAGGCCUAACACAUGCAAGUCGAACGGUAACAGGAAGAAGCUUGCUUCUUUGCUGACGAGUGGCGGACGGGUGAGUAAUGUCUGGGAAACUGCCUGAUGGAGGGAGAUAACUACUGGAAACGGUAGCUAAUACCGCAUAACGUCGCAAGACCAAAGAGGGGGACCUUCGGGCCUCUUGCCAUCGGAUGUGCCCAGAUGGGAUUAGCUAGUAGGUGGGGUAACGGCUCACCUAGGCGACGAUCCCUAGCUGGUCUGAGAGGAUGACCAGCCACACUGGAACUGAGACACGGUCCAGACUCCUACGGGAGGCAGCAGUGGGGAAUAUUGCACAAUGGGCGCAAGCCUGAUGCAGCCAUGCCGCGUGUAUGAAGAAGGCCUUCGGGUUGUAAAGUACUUUCAGCGGGGAGGAAGGGAGUAAAGUUAAUACCUUUACUCAUUGACGUUACCCGCAGAAGAAGCACCGGCUAACUCCGUG
rnacentral:rRNA from 1 species